UCCACUAGCUUCACCAAAUUCAAUUGACUUCUCCGUUGAAGUGAAAACCACUAUGGCAACACACUUUCGUUGCCUCCACCGUCUGUUGCAACCUCCCCACCCCGACGCCGCUCCUCCAUUAUUUAUGCGCGAUAGGCUCACCUCCUUCAUGACCAUCUCACAAAUCCUUCAAAUCUUCACCUUCAACAGUCAUGAAUCAUGAUUUCUCUGUCGAAGCCAAAUCUUGAAGUUCCACCAGGAAGAUCUCCCUUACACACAUAUAUUGGUCAAAUGAUGACUGAUGAGGUUAGUUUGUGCUCUCUCAUUUUCAUUAUAUUUAACAUGAUAAUCUUGUGUUUUCGAUGCAAAUAACGGGGUUAAUUGUGAACUGAACAACUUGAUAAUGGUGACCUCUGACACCAACAUUCUUCGAGGAAUGAAAAUUACGACAGGUCAUAUUUGGAGCCAUACAACUUGGGAUUGGGCAAACUUGGUGUCCCUGGAAAGAUAAGAGGGAGAUCUACAACUUCUUUGUUGGGAGAAAAACCCAAUUCAAAUGUUUUCAGGCCCAAAAUCAUGUCUUAAGAUUGCAGCCCUGCAUUAAAAUUUUCAGCUUGUCUUAAAACUAUUUAGUUGUAGUUAAUUAGGCUUUAGGAGUGUAAUUGGUGGGCUGGACCCUUAGUUUAGGCUCAUAACUUUGUCU